CCCAGACUCCUACGGGAGGCAGCAGUGGGGAAUAUUGCACAAUGGGGGAAACCCUGAUGCAGCGACGCCGCGUGAGUGAAGAAGUAUCUCGGUACGUAAAGCUCUAUCAGCAGGGAAGAAAAUGACGGUACCUGACUAAGAAGCCCCGGCUAACUACGUGCCAGCAGCCGCGGUAAUACGUAGGGGGCAAGCGUUAUCCGGAUUUACUGGGUGUAAAGGGAGCGUAGACGGCAGCACAAGUCUGGAGUGAAAGCCCGGGGCUUAACCCCGGAACUGCUUUGGAAACUGUGCGGCUGGAGUGCAGGAGGGGUAAGCGGAAUUCCUAGUGUAGCGGUGAAAUGCGUAGAUAUUAGGAGGAACACCGGUGGCGAAGGCGGCUUACUGGACUGUAACUGACGUUGAGGCUCGAAAGCGUGGGGAGCAAACAGGAUUAGAUACCCCAGUA
rnacentral:rRNA from 1 species